rnacentral:rRNA from 1 species
GAUGAACGCUGGCGGCGUGCUUAACACAUGCAAGUCGAACGAAGCAUUCCAUUUGAAAGUGAACCAGCUUGCUGGGGAACAAUCUCCAGGAAUGACUUAGUGGCGGACGGGUGAGUAACGCGUGGGUAACCUGCCUUAUACAGGGGGAUAACAGUUAGAACUGACUGCUAAUACCGCAUAACCCGAUAGUAGCGCAUGGUACCGUCGGAAAAAAUUUUAUCGGUAUAAGAUGGACCCGCGUCUGAUUAGCUAGUUGGUGGGGUAACGGCCCACCAAGGCGACGAUCAGUAGCCGACUUGAGAGAGUGAUCGGCCACAUUGGGACUGAGACACGGCCCAAACUCCUACGGGAGGCAGCAGUGGGGAAUAUUGCACAAUGGGCGCAAGCCUGAUGCAGCGACGCCGCGUGAGCGAUGAAGUAUUUCGGUAUGUAAAGCUCUAUCAGCAGGGAAGAUAAUGACGGUACCUGACUAAGAAGCACCGGCUAAAUACGUGCCAGCCGCCGCUGUAA